AAUCAUAUGGCAUGGCAUUGGAGGUAAAACCUUGUAGUGAAAGCAACAUCUUCCUGCAAAAUGAGAUAAGUCAAUUGACUAGGACAUUCAAAAUAAGUACUCAGGGGCUAAGGUCACGGGUACUUACAGGCUUCAACGAGUGUGAGGCACUGAAUUCUCGCACAAUAGUGGGGAUUUCGCCCACAUUCUUGAACAUUCUCUUGAACCUCACCAUGACUUCAUCUGUGUUGAUUUCAUCACAAGAGAAUCUGGAUGGAUCAUUGAGGCCGGUAUACUCAUAGCCGUAAUGGCACUGCUGCUGUAGAGGUUGGAUGCGGCACUUCAUAAAGCUAAAGGCCACUCCUACUCCAGUAAGGCCUUAUUGUUUCAGGUGGGCGAUUCUACCCAUCAAAUCGGGCAUAUUGCAUGCAAUCGCCAUGCUUUAGCUCAUCAAGCCACCCAUCAAAUCGGGCAAUUGCAGGCAAUCGCCAUGCUUUGGCUCAUCAAGCCACCGAAUGUUCCAGGAGGAAUGGUGCCCUGUCAGCUUGGGGAGUUUUGGAUCAUGGUUGCCAAUGUAGCAC
rnacentral:lncRNA from 1 species